AGAGUUUGAUCCUGGCUCAGGAUGAACGCUGGCGGCGUGCCUAACACAUGCAAGUCGAACGCUCCCUGUAGCAAUACGGGGGGAGUGGCGGACGGGUGAGUAACACGUAGCUCAUCUACCCUGGGGCGGGGGAUAACGGCUGGAAACGGUCGCUAAUACCCCAUACGCUGGGAGACGGUAGGGGUCUCUCAGGAAAGCUACGGUGUCCUGGGAUGAGGCUGCGGCCCAUCAGCUAGUUGGCGAGGUAACGGCUCACCAAGGCGACGACGGGUAGGGGGCCUGGGAGGGUGGUCCCCCACACUGGAACUGAGACACGGUCCAGACUCCUACGGGAGGCAGCAGUGAGGAAUAUUGCGCAAUGGGCGAAAGCCAGACGCAGCAACGCCGCGUGGAGGAAGACGGCCUUCGGGUUGUAAACUCCUUUUCUGGGGGAAGAAGCUGACGGUACCCCAGGAAGAAGUCUCGGCUAACUACGUGCCAGCAGCCGCGGUAAAACGUAGGAGACGAGCGUUAUCCGGAUUUACUGGGCGUAAAGCGCGUGCAGGCGGUUGGGAAAGUCGUGCGUGAAAGCUCCUGGCUUAACUGGGAGAGGUCGUACGAAACUACCCGGCUAGAGGGCAGGCGAGGGGUGUGGAAUUCCGGGUGUAGUGGUGAAAUGCGUAGAUAUCCGGAGGAACACCAGUGGCGAAGGCGACACCCUGGACUGUACCUGACGCUCAGACGCGAAAGCAUGGGGAGCGAACGGGAUUUAGAAACCCCGGUAGUCCAUGCCGUAAACGAUGUGCACUGGGCGUGGAGGGCUGCAAAGCCCACCGUGCCGAAGCCAACGCGAUAAGUGCACCGCCUGGGGACUACGAGCGCAAGCUUAAAACUCAAAGGAAUUGACGGGGGCCCGCACAAGCAGCGGAGCGUGUGGUUUAAUUCGAGGCUACACGAAGAACCUUACCUGGGCUUGACAUGGCGGUGGUAGGGAACCGAAAGGCGACCGACCUUCGGGAGCCGUCACAGGUGCUGCAUGGCUGUCGUCAGCUCGUGCCGUGAGGUGUUCGGUUAAGUCCGGUAACGAGCGCAACCCUCGGGUCUAGUUACAGGUGUCUAGACCGACUGCCCGUGGCAAGCGGGAGGAAGGUGGGGAUGACGUCGAGUCCUCAUGGCCCUUAUAUCCAGGGCUACACACGUGCUACAAUGGACGGUACAAAGGGUCGCGAACCUGUAAGGGGGAGCUAACCCCAGAAAACCGCUCUCAGUUCGGAUUGGAGUCUGCAACCCGACUCCAUGAAGUUGGAAUCGCUAGUAAUCGCGGAUCAGAACGCCGCGGUGAAUACGUUCCCGGGCCUUGCACACACCGCCCGUCA
rnacentral:rRNA from 1 species